rnacentral:lncRNA from 1 species
UUUGGCUUUAAUAUUGAUUCACUUAUAGGGUCUUUGCAUCGGAACUAAACACAUUUAUUUAAAAAACAGUUGUUGGCAUGACACGGGUUAUGUUCUUCUCAUAUAUUUUAUGAUAGUAUGAUACUAAACCCCUAACGGGAGGAAUUGUGCCUGAUAUUCAUAUGAUGAAGACAUAAUCUUUCAAUCAGUUUAAUUGAGGUCUGGAGCUGGCAUGUCAGUUAACUGUUAG